CUUUCAACAACGGAUCUCUUGGUUCUGGCAUCGAUGAAGAACGCAGCGAAAUGCGAUAAGUAGUGUGAAUUGCAGAAUUCAGUGAAUCAUCGAAUCUUUGAACGCACAUUGCGCCCCUUGGUAUUCCAUGGGGCAUGCCUGUUCGAGCGUCAUUUGUA
rnacentral:rRNA from 1 species